AGCAUUACUAGUAUUAGAGGCAAUGCCUGCCCAGUGACACCAGUUUAACGGCCGCGGUAUUCUGACCGUGCAAAGGUAGCAUAAUCACUUGUUCUCCAAAUAAGGACUUGUAUGAAUGGCCACACGAGGGUUUUACUGUCUCUUACUUCCAAUCAGUGAAAUUGACCUUCCCGUGAAGAGGCGGGAAUAAAAAAAUAAGACGAGAAGACCCUAUGGAGCUUUAAUUAACUAUUCCAAAAGUUAAACAAUUCAACCACAAAGGGAUAAAACAUAACUUAACAUGGACUAGCAAUUUCGGUUGGGGUGACCUCGGAGUACAAAAAACCCUCCGAGUGAUUUUAAUCUAGACAAACCAGUCAAAAUAACCAUAACAUCACUUAUUGAUCCAAAAUUUUGAUCAACGGAACAAGUUACCCUAGGGAUAACAGCGCAAUCCUAUUCUAGAGUCCCUAUCGACAAUAGGGU
rnacentral:rRNA from 1 species